rnacentral:lncRNA from 1 species
GCAGAAGAGAAACUUUCCUCCAGCACCUUUGAUUCAGAGACGGAGCUGAGCCCUAGAGAGAGGUGGGGACUUGCCCGUGUCACCCGGCGACGUAAUGGCAAGGCUGGACUAGAGCCCAGGGCCCUGAGACCCACUCCUACCACAGCUGCCCAUCCUGUCGCUCCCUCCACCAGGAAUGCCAGACUGCCCCGUCUCCACCUGCUGAUAAUGUUUAAGGCCGUCCCAGUGCCACCCCUACAAGGAGCCUUUCUGCAUGCAGCCCUCCAAGCAGACGUGACCUCCCUCUCCUCUGAACGUGGAACGCUUGGAGCACCUUCCGCGUGGCUCUCGCAUCUGCCCUGUAUGGUGGUUAUGUGUAUAUUCCCCUCUGUAGGCUCCUGGAAACAGGGCUUGUGUCCAGACUUCACUCCCG